rnacentral:rRNA from 1 species
GACGAACCGUGCGAACGUUAUUCGGAAUCAUUGGGCUUAAAGCGCGUGUAGGCGGGUUCGUGCGUCUGUCGCUGAAAUCCCCCGGCUCAACCGGGGAACGGGCGCGGAUACGACGAGUCUGGAGGGGCAUAGGGGGACCUGGAACUUCCGGUGGAGCGGUGAAAUGCGUUGAGAUCGGAAGGAACGCCCGUGGCGAAAGCGAGGUCCUGGAUGCCUACUGACGCUGAGACGCGAAAGCCAGGGGAGCGAACGGG